rnacentral:rRNA from 1 species
CAGUCGCCACGGUAAUACGUAGGUGGCAAGCGUUGUCCGGAAUUAUUGGGCGUAAAGGGCUCGCAGGCGGUUUCUUAAGUCUGAUGUGAAAGCCCCCGGCUCAACCGGGGAGGGUCAUUGGAAACUGGGAAACUUGAGUGCAGAAGAGGAGAGUGGAAUUCCACGUGUAGCGGUGAAAUGCGUAGAGAUGUGGAGGAACACCAGUGGCGAAGGCGACUCUCUGGUCUGUAACUGACGCUGAGGAGCGAAAGCGUGGGGAGCGAACAGGAUUAGAUACCCCCGUAGUCCCUGUCUCUUAUAA